GGGCGGUUAGCUCAGGGGAAGAGCAUCGGCCUUACAAGCCGAGGGUCAUCCGUUCAAAUCGGAUACCGCCCA
rfam:Acidobacteria bacterium RBG_16_68_9 RBG_16_scaffold_18847, whole genome shotgun sequence.